GGGCCCAUAGCUCAGCUGGGAGAGCGCGUGCAUGGCAUGCACGAGGUCGCCGGUUCGAUCCCGGCUGGGUCCA
rnacentral:tRNA from 1 species